AAGCUUUCCCUGCAAUAUUAUCUCAGCAGCUCCCUAGCUGCUUACCCUGAAAACGAGGGAUCCAAACGGAGGGUGUUGCCCUCUGCUAACGCUGGUCCUGUGCGUGGCUGUGGCAUGUGAGCGGCAGGUCUGAAAAAGCAGGUGUGUGCUGGGACGGGCACUGGACUGGAACGCAGGCGGACGCUCUCGGGUUUACCUGCUUCCUGUUAACAGAUUGUGGGCUCCCAGGGCAUAUGUCUGCACGCUGAGGCCGAGGCGGAGAAGGGGCUUCCUGAGCGUCCCAGUACACUGACAGAGACACUUGGAUUGGACUUAAUCUUAAACCUCUGGAGUUCAAGACCUUUUAAAAAGGGCUAAAUAAACAAUCUCUACAUGUAAAAGGCCACUGACUCCUGCUUCCUCUGUAUAGAGCAACUGUUGAACUCAGCUGCCUGUAAGGCGUGAUUCUCAGUCACCAGACUCAGCAAAAGGUUUUAGAAGCGUCCGACCAAACCUACAAGAGAAGAGAUCAGCAACUCAGGCACCCCCUCCACCAGAAAGAAAAGAGAGCUUUCAUAGCUCUUUGAUAACCAGGCACACAAAGGGUGUCAUUUU
rnacentral:sRNA from 1 species